rnacentral:rRNA from 1 species
CUACGGGAGGCAGCAGUGGGGAAUAUUGCACAAUGGGGGAAACCCUGAUGCAGCGACGCCGCGUGGAGGAAGAAGGUCUUCGGAUUGUAAACUCCUGUCCCAGGGGACGAUAAUGACGGUACCCUGGGAGGAAGCACCGGCUAACUACGUGCCAGCAGCCGCGGUAAAACGUAGGGUGCAAGCGUUGUCCGGAAUUACUGGGUGUAAAGGGAGCGCAGGCGGAUUGGCAAGUUGGGAGUGAAAUCUAUGGGCUCAACCCAUAAAUUGCUUUCAAAACUGUCAGUCUUGAGUGGUGUAGAGGUAGGCGGAAUUCCCGGUGUAGCGGUGGAAUGCGUAGAUAUCGGGAGGAACACCAGUGGCGAAGGCGGCCUACUGGGCACUAACUGACGCUGAGGCUCGAAAGCAUGGGUAGCAAACAGGAUUAGAUACCCUGGUAGUCCAUGCCGUAAACGAUGAUUACUAGGUGUGGGAGGAUUGACCCCUUCCGUGCCGCAGUUAACACAAUAAGUAAUCCACCUGGGGAGUACGACCGCAAGGUUGAAACUCAAAGGAAUUGACGGGGGCCCGCACAAGCAGUGGAGUAUGUGGUUUAAUUCGAAGCAACGCGAAGAACCUUACCAGGUCUUGACAUCGGAUGCAUACCUAAGAGAUUAGGGAAGUCCUUCGGGACAUCCAGACAGGUGGUGCAUGGUUGUCGUCAGCUCGUGUCGUGAGAUGUUGGGUUAAGUC